UGGSKKUACCAGAAGUCGGUCGCUUAACCUUCGGGAGGGCGCCGACCACGGUGUGGUCAAUGACUGGGGUGAAGUCGUAACAAGGUAGCCGUAGGUGAACCUGCAGAAGGAUCA
rnacentral:rRNA from 1 species